rnacentral:rRNA from 1 species
GAUGAACGCUGGCGGCGUGCCUAAUACAUGCAAGUCGAGCGAACAGACUAGGAGCUUGCUCCUCUGACGUUAGCUGCGGACGGGUGAGUAACACGUUGAUAACCUACCUAUAAGACUGGGAUAACUUCGUGAAACCGGAGCUAAUACCGGAUAAUAUAUUGAACCGCAUGUUUCAAUAGUUAAAGACGGUUUUGCUGUCACUUAUAGAUGGAUCCGCGCCGCAUUAGCUAGUUGGUAAGGUAACGGCUUACCAAGGCAACGAUGCGUAGCCGACCUGAGAGGGUGAUCGGCCACACUGGAACUGAGACACGGUCCAGACUCCUACGGGAGGCAGCAGUAGGGAAUCUUCCGCAAUGGGAGAAAGCUUGACGGAGCAACGCCGCGUGAGUGAUGAAGGUAUUCGGAUCGUAAAAAUCUGUUAUUAGGGAAGAACAAAUGUGUAAGUAACGAUGCACGUCUUGACGGUACCUAAUCAGAAAGCCACGGCUAACUACGUG